rnacentral:ribozyme from 1 species
UUUUUUUUUUUUUUUUUUUUUUUGUUCUUCUUCUUUUUUUGAUCUCCUGA